rnacentral:lncRNA from 1 species
AGGAAUUAUAAAUAGCUGCCCCGUGAAAUAUUCGUCUCCUGAUUCCUGAGAGGGCGCUUCUGUGAAAAGAAAGAAGGCAGAUAACUGGAUUCCUUGUAAACAUGCUGAAAACUGACCUUUUGGUAUAUAGACUAAAGGUGAAGGUAAAUAAACUGGGAUACUUCCACACAAUGGAGUAUUAUUCAUCACUGAGAAGAAGUGAGCUAUCAAGCCAUGAAAAGACAGGCAGGAACAUUGACUGCAUAUUAUCAAGUAAAAGAAGCAAAUCUCAAAAGCCUACAUACUGCGCCAUUCCAACCAUAUGACAUUCUGGAAAAGGCACAACUAUGGGG